CUUGAAAAAAAAAAAGAAAAACAAAAAAAGUGUCAGAAUGUGAUUACUGGAAUAUGCAUUCAAAAAUAUUCUCUCCUUGUGGUAUUGUCAUCAUCAUACACCAGGACGACUUCGUAUAUUCGUGCAAGGAUAAUCAACGAGUUUGAGAAAAGAUGGAACUGAAACAAUUAAUUUUAGCUCACCCUAACCACACCACGUAACACUGAGUUGGUACCGAGUUUUCUAUACUACUCCUCAUAACACGGUUGUUGUCGCUUUAAAUUGGCUCAGCUAUUUGGUAGCACGAUGAUGGCGGGCGUUCUAAAAUAAAUAUUUCGUUGAAUAAACAUCCUUUUAAAUGUGUUGUUGCCACCCCAAAAAACCUCACAUGAUACUUUUAUGCACGAUUUGAAUGAAUGAAUGUUACCAGUUCCUGCCACCCAACCCAAAGUCUAUGAAGAGGACAAUGAUUAUGAUGGAUUGGUUAAUUCGCUUAGCAAAAAUGACUAUGAGAAGGCAAUAAGCACCAACACUAACACAAAAAAAGGAGCAAAAUCAACACAUUCGUUCCUGAAAAAUGUGUACAAAUAAAGUGAAAAUGGGAAAACAUGUCCACGGGAAUGUCCUUCGCGCGCGUCGUCGUCAGUUGCCUUCGCACGAAACGGUUCCUUUUUUUGAGCGAUGAUUUAAUCAAAGUUGCACGAAGCAACUCCAGUUCAUUCGUUGAGUUCUCUGCUCUGUUUGCCACAAAUAAAAACAAAGGAAUACAAAAAACAGCGAAAAACGUGAACAAAUAUGUGAACAUUGUGACAGUACUGUUUUUUUUCUGUUUGUUUCUCCUGUCAAUUCACUUUAAAUGCGUGUCGGUGAGAGAAGGAAGGACACGUUUCUAACUUUUAAAAAAAUGCCCAAAAGAGGAAGAGCUACGACUUCAGCAAAAAAAGGAAGAAAAAAAAAACAUCCUCCUGAACAAGUCAAAUGACCAGUAAAAGUUUUGUGUUCAAGUCCUGUCUCGGUAGAAUUGAAUGGUCUUGAAAAGUGUAGAAGCUUUUUCUCUGCCUCGUUGUGUUGAAUGAACCGAAAAAUAAUAAUAAUCCCCAUGGAGCAAUGUGGUAUGGCCGUCCUUCCGGUUAGUUCGAAAAAUUUCCAGAGGCUCCUAUCUUGCUAGCUAGACCCAGAGAGCUGCUUGUAGAUAGCUAAAUUUUGAUGGAGAGAAAUGGCUGCGGAAAAAUUUUCUCUGUAAAACAAAAACCAAGAAGAGAAAAUGAAAAUAAAAAACAUCGCAUCGCCAGUUUAUAUACGACUCGUGGACUCUCUACCUACCUGCUUUGGCUAUGUCCUUUUUUGGUUUUCUAAGGUAAGUUGAGGUGAAAGUAUAUAUUUAUUAAUAAGUAGAUGGAAACAGAGAGAUAGAA